rnacentral:lncRNA from 1 species
AGAACCAGAACAGCAGAGGAAGCUCUUCACUGGAGGGUUGAGCUUGGAAUGAGAGCCUGAGGAGCCAUUUUGAGCAAUGGGGAACGCUCACAGACUGUGUGGUAAUGAGAGAUCCAAGCACCAAGCGCUCCAGGGGCUUAGGGUUUGUCACAUAUGCCCCUGUGGAGGCAGUGGAUGCAGCCGUGAAUGCAAGGCCACGCAAGGUGGAUGAAAGAGCUGUGGAAACAGAGAGCUGUCUCAAGAGAAGAUUCUCAAAGACCCAGUGCCCACUUAACUGUGAAAAAGAUAUUUGUUGGUGGCAUUAAAGAAGACACAGGACACUGAAGAACAGCACCUAAGAGAUUAUUUUGAACAGUAUGGAAAAAUUGAAGUGAUUGAAAUCAUGACUGACCGAGUCAGUGGCAAGAAAAGGGGCUUUGCCUUUAUAACCUUUGACUACCAUGACUCUGUGGAUAAGACUGUCAUUCAGAAAUAACCAUACUGUGAAGUUAGGAAAGCCCUGUUAAAGCAAGAGAUGGCUGGUGCUUCAGCCAGCCACAGAGGUCAAAGUGGCUCUGGAAACUUUGGUGGUAGUCAUGGAGGUAGUUUCGGUGGGAAUGACAAUUUUGGUCAUGGAGGAAACUUAAGUGGUCUUGGUGGCUUUAAUGACAGCUCUGGUGGUGGUGGAUAUGGUGGCAGUGGGGAUGGGUAUAAUGGAUUUAGUAAUGAUGGAAGCAAUUUUGGGGGUGGUGGAAGCUACGAUGAUUUUGGCAAUUACAACAAUCGGUCUUCAAAUUUCAGACCCAUGAAGGGAAGAAACUUUGGAGGCAGAAGCUCUGGCCCCUAUGGUGGUGGAGGCCAAUACUUUGCCCAACCACGAAACCAAGGUGGCCGUGGCGG